GACGAACGCUGGCGGCGUGCCUAAUACAUGCAAGUCGAACGCACUCUCGUUUAGAUUGAAGGAGCUUGCUCCUGAUUGAUAAACAUUUGAGUGAGUGGCGGACGGGUGAGUAACACGUGGGUAACCUGCCCUAAAGUGGGGGAUAACAUUUGGAAACAGAUGCUAAUACCGCAUAAAACCUAACACCGCAUGGUGUAGGGUUGAAAGAUGGUUUCGGCUAUCACUUUAGGAUGGACCCGCGGUGCAUUAGUUAGUUGGUUGAGGUAAAGGCUCACCAAGACCGUGAUGCAUAGCCGACCUGAGAGGGUAAUCGGCCACACUGGGACUGAGACACGGCCCAGACUCCUACGGGAGGCAGCAGUAGGGAAUCUUCCACAAUGGACGAAAGUCUGAUGGAGCAACGCCGCGUGAGUGAAGAAGUUUUCGGAUCGUAAAACUCUGUUGUUGGAGAAGAAUGUAUCUGAUAGUAACUGAUCAGGUAG
rnacentral:rRNA from 1 species